UACGUAGGGUGCAAGCGUUAAUCGGAAUUACUGGGCGUAAAGCGUGCGCAGGCGGUUAUGUAAGACAGAUGUGAAAUCCCCGGGCUCAACCUGGGACCUGCAUUUGUGACUGCAUAGCUAGAGUACGGCAGAGGGGGAUGGAAUUCCGCGUGUAGCAGUGAAAUGCGUAGAUAUGCGGAGGAACACCGAUGGCGAAGGCAAUCCCCUGGGCCUGUACUGACGCUCAUGCGCGACAGCGUGGGGAGCAAACAGG
rnacentral:rRNA from 1 species